CAUAGAUAAGUUUAUCUAUUUGCUUACAGGUCACAUCUGAAUUUGUACAAAUUCUACAUUUAUAAAUAAAAGGUCACCGGCCGUAUAUGACUGGUUUGAAAUAUGGGGAAAUAUAUGGUAACGUUGUUUGUUGUAUGCUCAGUUAUUAUUGCAUGUAAAGCAUGUACUUCCGGUUGGGAGUCGUAUGACAGAUCAUGUUACAAAUACUUUGCUGACAGAAAGAACUGGUCUGAUGCAAAGAGGUAUUGCGAAACACAAGGAGCACAUUUAGCGAUAGUUCUGAGCAAUGAAGAAAAUGUAUUUUUAAAAGCACUACUAAGGAGGUCACAUAUAGGAUCAUCCGAUCAAGGUUUGGAUGGACGGGGAUGACUUGAAGUCAGAACACAAUUUUGUCUGGGAGAAUACUGGUCAAGGGUUUGAAAUAACCGACUGGGGCCCCAACGAGCCUAACCAGAGUGGGGGUAAUGAGGACUGUCUUUCAUUUUUCGCUUUAUAUGACUUCAAGUGGAAUGACGAACACUGUGACAGUGCCUUCGGCUUCCUAUGCGAAAAGGAAGCUGUUGGUACCGGGGGAGUUAUCGGUUAGAAUUGGCUAUAGCAUGCUAUGAAGUAAUAUGCCAAAUAAAGAUUAUGAUGCUA
rnacentral:lncRNA from 1 species